UAAAUUCUCCUAACCUGGUAAGAAAAGUCAAAUCUGGCAAAAGCUGUAUCCCGUCUAGACAAAACCCUUCUCUCGCCACUGCAAUACAUGUAGACAUGGGGCAGAUAGAAAAUGAACCAGUGCGACCGAAAAUGGAUGCCAAGGGUAUUCUCCAACAGAACCGCGAGUUCCUGGACUUCUUCUGAGAUAUCGCUAAACCUGAACAAGAGAUAAGGCUGAAAGCCAUUGAAAAUCUCAUACAAUAUCUAAAGACCAGUGAAAGGUCAGAUGAGUUGGCAUACACCCUGAAGAGACUGGUGGAUGGCUUGGCACACACUAGAGAGGCUGCCCGACCAGGCUUCAGUUUGGCUUUGGGACAGGUCUUGUCAAAAGUACUGAGUGUGUUCGAGGAGGUACCUCUGCGUACAGCCUUUGAUCAAAUCAAAGAGAAGCACAACUUGGCGAAAGUGAAAAAGGUAGCGUUCUCCUGGCAUCCAUCAAACCCAGAUUUGUCCGUUG